rnacentral:rRNA from 1 species
AUUGAACGCUGGCGGCAGGCCUAACACAUGCAAGUCGAGCGGAAGCAGGGAGCUUGCUCCUGGACUUAGCGGCGGACGGGUGAGUAAUGCCUAGGAAUAUGCCUGGUAGUGGGGGAUAACGUCCGGAAACGGGCGCUAAUAUAGCAUACGUCCUGUGGGGGAAAGUGGGGGAUCCUGGGACCUCACGCUACCAGAUGAGCCUAGGUCGGAUUAGCUAGUUGGUGGGGUAAAGGCCCACCAAGGCGACGAUCCGUAACUGGUCUGAGAGGAUGAUCAGUCACACUGGGACUGGAGCACGGGCCAAACUCCUACGGGAGGGAGCAGUUGGGAAUAAUGGACCAUGGGCGAAAGCCCGAACCAGCCAUGCCGCGUGUUGGAAGGAAGUCUUCGGAUUGUAAAACACCUUAAGGUGGGAGGGAGGGCAGUAUGUUAAUACCUUGCUGAUUUGACGUUACCAACAGAAGAAGUACCGGCUAACUUCGUG